rnacentral:rRNA from 1 species
UACAGAGGUCCCGAGCGUUGUUCGGAUUCACUGGGCGUAAAGGGUGCGUAGGUGGCUUGGAAAGUUUGAUGUGAAAGCUCAGGGCUUAACCCUGAAAUGGCAUUGAAUACUGCUGAGCUGGAGGUUUGGAGGGGGGACUGGAAUUCUUGGUGUAGCAGUGAAAUGCGUAGAUAUCAAGAGGAACACCAGUGGCGAAGGCGAGUCCCUGGACAACACCUGACACUGAGGCACGAAAGCUAGGGGAGCAAACGGG